rnacentral:rRNA from 1 species
UACAGAGGUCCCAAGCGUUGUUCGGAUUCACUGGGCGUAAAGGGUGCGUAGGCGGUCGGGUAAGUCUGAUGUGAAAUCUCACAGCUUAACUGUGAAACUGCAUUGGAUACUAUCCGGCUCGAGGAAUGGAGGGGAGACUGGAAUUCCUGGUGUAGCGGUGAAAUGCGCAGAUAUCAGGAGGAACACCGGUGGCGAAGGCGGGUCUCUGGGCAACAACUGACGCUGAGGAGCGAAAGCGUGGGGAGCGAACAGG